UACGUAGGGUGCAAGCGUUGUCCGGAAUUAUUGGGCGUAAAGAGCUCGUAGGCGGUCUGUCGCGUCGGCUGUGAAAACCCGGAGCUCAACUCCGGGCCUGCAGUCGAUACGGGCAGACUGGAGUUCGGCAGGGGAGACUGGAAUUCCUGGUGUAGCGGUGAAAUGCGUAGAUAUCGGGAGGAAUACCAGUGGCGAAGGCGGCUUACUGGCCCAUUCCUGACGCUGAGGGAGACGAAAGCGGUGGGGAGCAAACGGG
rnacentral:rRNA from 1 species